GACGAACGCUGGCGGCGUGCUUAACACAUGCAAGUCGAACGGAAAGGCCCUGCUUGCAGGGUAUUCGCGUGGCGAACGGGUGAGUAACACGCGGGUGUUAUGCCCCCCACAUCGGGGGAUGACUGGGGGACUGGGUGUCAUAUCGCAUAGGAGACAUUCUUCGUGAGAGGGUUGGUAGGUUUUUUCGGUGUGGGGUGGGCUCGCGGCCUGUCAGUCUGUUGGUGGGGUAGUGGGCUACCUAGGCGGCGACGGGUGGCCAGCCUGCGGGGGUGGACGGCCACACUGGGGCUGGGGCACGGGCCAGAACCCCACGGGGGGCAGCAAGGGGGAAUAUUGCACAAUGGGCGCGAGGCUGAUGCAGGGACGCCGCGGUGGGGAUGACGGGCUUCGGGUUGGAAACCCCUUUCGCCAGGUACGAAGCUUUUUGUGACGGUACCUAGUUAAGAAGCACCGGCUAACUACGUG
rnacentral:rRNA from 1 species